CUGGGUGGCAAUACUGAGGAGGAAACACCCGGUCCCAUUUCGAACCCGGAAGUUAAGCUCUUCAAGGCCCAUGAUACUGCCUCCUUACGGUGGUGGGAAAGUAGGUAGCUGCCCUGA
rfam:Bacterium CSP1-2 XT11_C0011, whole genome shotgun sequence.